CAGUGCGCAAGCUCGAGAGUCGAGAGCCACUUCCCGGGGGGCGGGGGGCCGUGCGCAUGCGCGUUCUUCUCCGGGGUCGGUAGAGGCCUGGGUCCGAGCCUGGGAAUCCCGGCGAGGUUCGCUCGCGCCCGGCUUUCCUGGGACGGAAAUCGACGUCAGCGAUCCCCGUGGAGCCCUCGUUCUUGCCACUUGCAAAGAGAAGAGCCCCCAGUUCAUCCAGAAAUGAGGAACGAGGCAGCCUAGCGCGUGUAUCCGAAAGCCCUGGGUUCGAAUGCCGCUGCUGACUUGCAGUGUACCCCUGGACACUGCAGCUGCCCCCUCGGAGCCUCGGCUUUCCCGUCCGUAGCAGCAGUUCCGGGAUGACGGGAUGGCUUCUGAAACCCAGCUGCCUGAGCGUCCCUCCCACGGCCAAGACCUGUGUGAAAUCGAAAUCGACUGGACCUGCGGGUCGCUCAUGGAGUCUAAAGACUGAACACUCUCUCCACUUAGGAGUUUUGUAGCUUCGUCUCUCCAAGCUACCUCUUUAAAUUUCCUUAUCUGUAGAAUGGAAAUCAAAAGUAACAGAGCCAGACCUUGUGCAACAGUAGGUUAAGCUGCAGCCUGCAAUGCCAGUUCUCAUAUCAGGGUACUGGUUCAUGUCCCGGCUGGUCCACUUCCCAUCCAGCUUCCUGUUAAUGCUCCUGGGAAAGCAGCACAGGAUGGGCCAAGUACAUGGACCCCUGCACCCACUUGGGAUCCUGAUGGAGUACCUGGCUCCUGGCUUUGGCCUGGCCCAGCCCCAACCAUCAUGGUCAUUUGGAGAAUGAACCAACGGAUGGAAGAUCUCUUUCUGUACUACCUAUCUCUGUCACUCUAACUUUCAAAUAAAUACAAUAGAUCUUUUAAAAAAAAGACUGAAACAAAAAAGUCAUAACCGUUGUGAGGACUGAAUGAGCUAAUACAUAGAACUCCAUAGAAUGCAGCCAAGCAGGUGGCUAAUACUGAGUACUUACCACUGUUACUACACCUGUCAAUAAGCAGGUACUUAUGGGUGCCCAGCCUAGGCACUGGAGAUUCGGUUGUAAAAAAGCCAGAGACUCUGCCCUCAAGAAGUUAUUUGACUAUGGGUUAAAAUAAUUCUGGGGUGGGCACUGUGUAGAAGCAGGUUAAGCCACCAACGGCAAUGCCAGCAUCUCAUAUUGGAGUCUGGGUAAAGAUCUCAGCUGCCCCACUUGGGAUCAAGCUUCAUGCUAACGUGCCUGGGAAAGUAGCAGAUGAUGGCAUGAGUGAGUCCCUCCCACCCAUGUGGGAGACCCAGAUAGAAUUCAUUUUGUAAUACUAACUGAUAGAAUCAGAAAGGGAGACAACAAUCCUACAUGGGAAGCAGGAUACACAGCAGACUCAUAGAAUGGCAGAUGUCCUAAACAGCACUCUGGCCUCAGAAUCAGCCCUUAAGGCAUUCGGAUCCGACUGAAGAGCCCAUGAGAGUAUUUUAGGCAUGGAAAGCCAAGACACACUGGGGGAAAAAAAAAAAAAAGAAGAAGAAAACCUAAAUGAAAGAUCUCUACGGGUGAGAUCCCAGUGAAAAGAAUGGGGCCAUCAAAGAAGGAGGUACCUUUCUCUGAAGGGAGGAGAGAACUUCCACUUUGACUGUGACCCUGUUGGAAUAAGAUCGAAGUCGGCAAACCCAAAAGGCUUCCAUAGCCUUGGCAACUCAUGACUAGAGCCUAGGGAGAUUACUGAUGCCAUAAACAAGAGUGUCAAAUUGUUAAAUCAACAACAGGAGUCACUGUGUACUUACUUCUCAUGUGGGAUCUGUCCUUAAUGUGUUGUCCAAUGUGAAGUAAUGCUAUAACUAGUACUGAAACAGUAUUUUUACACUUUGUGUUUCUGUGUGGGUGCAAACUGUUGAAAUCUUUACUUAAUAUAUACUGAAUCGAUCUUCUGUAUAUAAAGAGAAUUGAAAAUGAAUCUUGAUGUGAAUGGAAUGGGAGGGAGUGGGGGAUGGGAGGGGUGUGAGUGGGAGGGAAAUAUGGGGGAGAAAGCCAAUGUAAUCCAUAAACUGUACUUUGGAAAUUUAUAUUUACUAAAUAAAAAAUAAAUUAUUUAUUUAUUAUUUAUUUGAAAUAGUUACAUGUAGAAGGAGAGGCAAAGAGAGAUCAUCCAUCCGCUGGUUCACUCCACAGUUGGCCACAACGGCUGGAGCUGUGCCAAUCUGAAGACAGGAACCAGGAGCUGCUUCUAGGUCUCCCACGUGGGUGCAGGGGCCCAAGGACUUGGGCCAUCUUCUACUGCUCUCCCAGGACAUAGCAGAGAGCUGGAUUGAAAGUGGAGCAGCCGGGAGUUGAACCAGCACCCUUAUGGGAUGCUAGCACUACAGGUGGCCGCCUACCUGCUACGCCACAGCACCUGCCCCCAGAUAGAAUUCUUGGCUCUUGGUCUCACCAGGUCCAGCCCCUGCCAAUGUGGCUAUUUGAGGAGUGAGUCAGCAAAUGAAAGCUUUGCUCACUUGCUCUCGCUCGCUCGCUCUCUGCCUUUCAAGUAAAUAAAUUUUAAAGAAUAAAAUAUGAGUUCCUCUGACAAGCUGGCAUGCUGGGAAAUAAGGUAAGAUUUCAAGGACAGAGUUGAGGGCCCAGUGGAGAAUGGAGACCCUUAACUUAGGGGUUAUUAAUAUAAUGGUCUGUGUGUUUUUCCUGUAGUGAACUUGAGCACUUAACAUAGAAGCACAGCAAAAAGUGGAAAAUUGGAUUAAUCCAAGGAAGAGGCUUCCCCAGGCAGGUGUGAUGGGGGUCGAGAAAUUUAAGAUCUCACCUUUUAACAGUGCCUAAAACAAAUGGCCACAGAAUGACUUUCCAAUGAAUAAAUGCAUAAGAUCUU